UGCAAGUCGUACGAGAGUUUUUAACUCAAGUGGCGGACGGGUGAGUAACACGUAAGAAUUUACCUUUAGGAGGGGGACAACAACUGGAAACGGUUGCUAAUACCCCAUAUGCUUUCGAGUGAAAUGGAUUUUUCCGCCUAAAGAGAAGCUUGCGGCUGAUUAGCUUGUUGGUGAGGUAAUGGCUUACCAAGGCGACGAUCAGUAUCUGGUUUGAGAGGAUGAUCAGACACACUGGAACUGAGACACGGUCCAGACUCCUACGGGAGGCAGCAGUGGGGAAUUUUCCGCAAUGGGCGAAAGCCUGACGGAGCAAUACCGCGUGAGGGAUGACGGCCUAUGGGUUGUAAACCUCUUUUUUCAGGGAGGAAUCAAUGACGUGUACCUGAAGAAUAAGCAUCGGCUAACUCCGUGCCAGCAGCCGCGGUAAGACGGAGGAUGCAAGUGUUAUCCGGAAUCACUGGGCGUAAAGCGUCUGUAGGUGGUCAAAUAAGUCAACUGUUAAAUCUUGAGGCUCAACCUCAAGAU
rnacentral:rRNA from 1 species